UACAGAGGGGGCAAGCGUUAUUCGGAAUUAUUGGGCGUAAAGGGCGCGUAGGCGGCUUUGCAAGUGACGGGUGAAAUCCCUCGGCUUAACCGAGGAACUGCCUGUCAAACUGCAUGGCUUGAGACCAGGAGAGGUGAGUGGAAUUCCCAGUGUAGCGGUGAAAUGCGUAGAUAUUGGGAGGAACACCAGUGGCGAAGGCGGCUCACUGGGCCGGUCCUGACGCUGAGACGCGAAGGCGUGGGGAGCGAACGGG
rnacentral:rRNA from 1 species